rnacentral:rRNA from 1 species
UACGUAGGGGGCGAGCGUUGUCCGGAGUUACUGGGCGUAAAGCGCACGCAGGCGGUGCUGCGCGUUUUGGGGUUACAGCUCCCGGCUCAACCGGGAGAGCGCCUCGAAGACGGCAGCACUUGAGGGCCAGAGAGGGACACGGAACUCCGGGUGGAGUGGUGAAAUGCGUAGAUAUCCGGAAGAACACCAAAGGCGAAGGCAGUGUCCUGGCUGGUACCUGACGCUCAGGUGCGAAAGCUAGGGGAGCGAACGGG